CUUUUACUUGUUUCGUUAGUUAUUGUUCUUGGUGCAUGAGUAGCCCAGAUAAAGUAGAGUUUAUCUUGACUCCACUCAUUUUAUUUCUUGUGCUAGAUACUUUAUCCACUUAAUCUUCGAUAUGCUCACUUCCGUAUCUAUACAGUCUCCCGUUGUUAUUCAUGAUAACUAGCAGAUACUAUAUGCCAUGUUUACCUGUUUGACUACUGUUUAUUUAUGCUUAGAAUUGAGCAUGCGGAUUCAUGUAGCAUACCUGAUUUUUGUAUAUAUAUGAUGACUGUUGCAUUAUUCGCAUCAUGUCAUGCAUGCAUCGCCGAUGACCUUGGCUCCCUUGUGGUUGAGACGGUUAUUGGACAAAGUCGUACGCUCAGCCACUCAUGGGUAGUGGCGGCUGGAGCGUGCCGCGUGUCCUGUCGCGCUGCACUCGGUCACUCAUGGGUAGUGGCGGCUAGAGUUGUGAGCCGUAGGGACCCUAUUGCUAUGUAGCUAUUUAGCUACUAUGCUAACUGUCCACUCGGUCACUCGAGAGUAGUGGCGGCUGGAGUGUUGUACAGUUGUCAUCGAUCCGGCCUCUCGACCAUACAGGGGUCGUGGUGCAGAGAGGUGGGCGGGGUGACCAUCCGUGCAUACGUUGGUUCUAUUAUACCUGCUUCUGCUAUUAUACCACUCCUGCUACUACUGACUGGAUGAGGGAUAGAGCGCAUAUACCACUGUUGGCAAGGUCCGUCAAGGACAGGGUUACUCUAUACCAGGGCGGAGCAUACCCCUGGGCUUCUCGUAGCUGGUUGAAGAAUUUGGGAAGCACAUCGAUCUAGAUUUGCGAUUCAUCCAGGAGGUACUCGCAUGUACAGGGAUCUGAAACGAUCAUACUGGUGGAAUGGUAUGAAGAAGGAUAUUGCGACAUUUGUGGCGCAGUGUUUAGUUUGUCAGCAGAUUAAGGCAGAGCAUCAGAGACCAGCUAGGUUACUGCAGAAGAUAGAAAUACCAGAAUGGAAAUGGGAGCAUAUCACGAUGGACUUUGUGGUAGGACUACCCCGGACCCGGAAGGGUCAUGAUGCGAUUUGGGUAAUCGUUGAUCGGUUAACCAAAUCUGCACACUUCUUACCGAUCCGUCGGACGGAUUCGUUGGAUCGAUUGGCGGAGUUGUACUGCAGAGAGAUCACUAGAUUGCAUGGUAUACCUCUGAGUAUUAUAUCAGAUAGAGAUCAACAAUUUACCUCUCGAUUUUGGUGGAGUCUCCAGCAGGCCAUGGGUACAGAACUCCGUUUUAGUACAGCAUUUCACCCUCAGACGGAUGGGCAGUCGGAACGUACUAUCCAGACAUUGGAGGAUCUAUUGAGAUCUUGUGUCAUGGACUUCGGCGGUAGCUGGGAGGAUCAUUUGCACUUGGUGGAGUUUGCAUACAAUAACAGUUACCACUCAGCGAUUCAGAUGGCACCAUUCGAAGCAUUAUAUGGCAGAGCAUGUAGAUCUCCUACUUUGUGGGAUGAGGUUGGAGAAUCGUCAGUCUUGGGGCCUCAGCGUAUUCAGCGAGAUGCAGAGUUGGUUAGCACCAUCAGACGCAGAAUGUCAGAAGCCCAGGACCGACAGAAAAGCUAUGCAGAUUAGAGACGGAGACCUUUAGAGUUUUCUGUGGACGAUCAUGUGUUCCUGCGAGUGUCUCCUACCAAGGGAGUGAGGAGGUUUGGAUUAAAAGGGAAGUUAGCUCCUCGUUACAUCUGUCCCUUUCAGAUACUUGAGAGGAUCGGUGAGGUAGCAUAUCGACUGGCGCUGCCACCUUUACUUGCCGGGGUGCAUGAUGUAUUUCACGUAUCCAUGUUGAGGAAAUAUGUACCACACCCUAUGCAUAUUUUGACAGAUGUCCCGAUCACCCUUCAGCCAGAUGUAACAUAUGAGGAGGUUCCAGUGCGGAUAUUGGAUCGCAAGGAACGCCAGCUGCGGAAUAAGACCAUCCGACUGGUCAAGGUUGGAUGGGAGCAUCAUUCCGAUGACGAGCCAACCUGGGAGCUGGAGGAUGAGAUCCGAGCGCGAUACCCACGGAUGUUUGAUGAAGGUAUGUAAGUUAUUUCAUUUAAUGAUUGACUUCGCAUGUCGUUGGUCAUUUAUUGCAUUUAUGUUGUAAAUUUGGGGACCAAAUUAUUAUUAGAGGGAGAGAAUGUGAGAUACGGCAAAAUAAAAUAACCUAUAAUGAUUAUUGGGAAUUUUUAGACAUUUUUCUGGAUUUAUUUGGAGGACUUAUGACAGGGUUUAAGUGGAUAAAUUAUUGGGCUUAAGAUGUAGUGGAAAUCAUGAUAAUGGAGGACUACUUAAGGGUUGUGGGAACUUAACCUAACCCAAACCCUACUGCUUAUAAGAAGCUAUAGUGCUAGCCCUAAAUCGUCGUUUUCCCUUAUUCCUCCGAACCUUCUGCCUUCGUCGAUUUCCUCACCCUUUCCUCCCGAUUUUGCCUACGAAACCCAGCUCCGACGCACGACCGCGUCUGAUCGCCGGCUCCUUGUAGCGAGACGAGCCUCCGACUUCCUCGACAUCUCCGUAGAGGUCUCACCGGCGAUGUCCUUCCUCAAACACGCCACUUCGCCAGGGAAUCUCCGGUCAGGUGGCGAGAUCUGGAUCCUGUGGAGGCGGGAGUCGAGUAGUUAGUUCUAGAGCUCAUCGUGGUUGAGGACUGCGCUCCCAGCGGUGGUUUAUCCACCCGAGCUCUAAGGCUGAGGUUCUCCGUCAAGAUUCCUUUGUCGACUGUGAGGAAUUUCGUCAUUGAGUGGCUUGCUCUGAGGGGCUCGACCACAACUCUCAGCAGCUGUUCUUCACCUGGGAAACAUCAGGUUUGAUAACGAAUCCUACGUUUAGAGUGGGGAUCAGAUCUGAGAUUGUGGGAGGUGAUUAAGGUAGCUGAUAGCGAUACUAGUACACAUGGAGGAGGAUCCCGACUGUCGGUCCCACAUCACUUCCGAUGACGGUUUUAUGGUUUUGGUUUUCAUUUUAUUGUGAGUUAAACCUUUGAAUUUAGCAUUGUAAUAAUUGAGCUGUGGACUUGUUAUUUUGUAUUUGAUUGUUUUGUCGA